ensembl:lncRNA
CUGGACAGUUCCACCCUGGGACAGAUCCUACCUGUUUCACAGUUUUGCCUGAAAUCAGCCCUAUCAUGGAGUUCUAAACUGCGUCCUGCCCCUAACGUCUAACUGCUUUCCCAUCUUGGGCAAAUCUGUCCGAGUUCUCUGCAAAGAGUACACCAGAGAAGACCAACUUUUCCUGCAUGCCUGCCUUUGAUCAGGGACUUUUGUCCCUUUGCCUAUGACCAGAGUCCACUCAGUUCCAGGGUCAGUGGCCUGUGCAUCUAUUGGCCUAGAGGUCAGAUUGGCCAGGUUAGGUUGAACAUUAUACUGAUAAGGAAAAGGUUUUCUUAGGAGAUUUUUUGCUUGCAGAAUGGAUAUCUUUGACUUUUGAAGCAAGGAGAAACAUCUGCUAGACUCUCCCAGUACUCUAUAGAAGAAUGAUUGGGUUGAGGAGAAAGAGUCCAGAGCUUUGUUUAAUGGUGAAAAGUGCUGACUAUCUCUGUUCAGUUAUUCCUCAUUCCACACAUGAUCCUUCAUUCUGCCCUUCACAGAAUACUGUUUAACUAUGGAGACAGUUUCAGUUCUUAGCAAUGGCUACCUAUCUCCAUCCCCACUGCCCCGCAUCGGACAGCUGUGCAUGUAUUCCAGGAGCAGCUUGCGCAUAGCUUGUGGAAUCAAGACUGUAACCCACCAGGCUCCUUUGUCUAUGGGAUUUCCCAGGCAAGAAUACUGGAGUGGGCUACCAUUUCCUUCUCCAGGGGAUCUUUCCGACCCAGGGAUUGAACCUGCAUCUCCUGCAUUGCCAGAGAAUUCUUUACUGCUGAACCACCAAGGAAGCCCCAGGAGAUGGGAAGUGCCGGGGGCCAGCGUGAGGAACUCCGCCUAUGGUGAAGGUCAUGAGGAAGGAGGCUUGGCAUACGCAAAGGCGUGAUCAAGCCUCAGGAAACCGCCUGUUCCUGAGCAUCUAACCCCAAAACCAGAGUCUGUUUUAUGCUCUCACUUACAACUCUGACUUUACGAGGGGCUCUCCCCCAUAACCGUUUCUCU